rnacentral:tRNA from 1 species
GCUUUUGUGGUUUAAUUAGAAGCACGUCCGGCUAGCAGUCGGCAGUUCCGGAGUUCGAAUCUCGGAAAAAGCA